CGUGCAGGCGGUUCGGUAAGUUGGAUGUGAAAGCUCCUGGCUCAACUGGGAGAUGCCGUUCAAUACUGCCGGACUAGAGGACGGUAGAGGAAGGUAGAAUUCCCGGUGUAGUGGUGAAAUGCGUAGAUAUCGGGAGGAAUACCAGUGGCGAAGGCGGCCUUCUGGGCCGUUCCUGACGCUAAGACGCGAAAGCAUGGGUAGCGAACG
rnacentral:rRNA from 1 species